rnacentral:rRNA from 1 species
CACGCUGUAAACGGUGAGUGCUGGGUGUGGGAGGUGUAAUGCCUUCUGUGCCGAAGCUAACGCGUUAAGCACUCCGCCUGGGGAGUACGGCCGCAAGGUUGAAACUCAAAGGAAUUGACGGGGGCCCGCACAAGCGGUGGAGCAUGUGGUUUAAUUCGACGCAACGCGAAAAACCUUACCUGGGCUUGACAUGGAGAGAAUCUUCUGGAAACAGAAGAGUGCCUCGUAAGAGGAGCUCUCACACAGGUGC